UUAAGCGACUAAGCGUACACGGUGGAUGCCCUGGCAGUCAGAGGCGAUGAAGGACGUGCUAAUCUGCGAAAAGCGUCGGUAAGGUGAUAUGAACCGUUAUAACCGGCGAUGUCCGAAUGGGGAAACCCAGUGCAAUUCGUUGCACUAUCGUUAACUGAAUACAUAGGUUAACGAGGCGAACCGGGGGAACUGAAACAUCUAAGUACCCCGAGGAAAAGAAAUCAACCGAGAUUCCCCCAGUAGCGGCGAGCGAACGGGGAGCAGCCCAGAGUCUGAAUCAGCUUGUGUGUUAGUGGAACGGUCUGGAAAGUCCGACGGUACAGGGUGAUAGUCCCGUACACCAAAAUGCACAGGCUGUGAACUCGAAGAGUAGGGCGGGACACGUGGUAUCCUGUCUGAAUAUGGGGGGACCAUCCUCCAAGGCUAAAUACUCCUGACUGACCGAUAGUGAACCAGUACCGUGAGGGAAAGGCGAAAAGAACCCCGGCGAGGGGAGUGAAAAAGAACCUGAAACCGUGUACGUACAAGCAGUGGGAGCACCUUCGGGUGUGACUGCGUACCUUUUGUAUAAUGGGUCAGCGACUUAUAUUCUGUAGCAAGGUUAACCGUAUAGGGGAGCCGCAGGGAAACCGAGUCUUAACUGGGCGUUAAGUUGCAGGGUAUAGACCCGAAACCCGGUGAUCUAGCCAUGGGCAGGUUGAAGGUUGGGUAACACUAACUGGAGGACCGAACCGACUAAUGUUGAAAAAUUAGCGGAUGACUUGUGGCUGGGGGUGAAAGGCCAAUCAAACCGGGAGAUAGCUGGUUCUCCCCGAAAGCUAUUUAGGUAGCGCCUCGUGAAUUCAUCUUCGGGGGUAGAGCACUGUUUCGGCUAGGGGGUCAUCCCGACUUACCAACCCGAUGCAAACUACGAAUACCGAAGAAUGUUAUCACGGGAGACACACGGCGGGUGCUAACGUCCGUCGUGAAGAGGGAAACAACCCAGACCGCCAGCUAAGGUCCCAAAGUCAUGGUUAAGUGGGAAACGAUGUGGGAAGGCACAGACAGCCAGGAUGUUGGCUUAGAAGCAGCCAUCAUUUAAAGAAAGCGUAAUAGCUCACUGGUCGAGUCGGCCUGCGCGGAAGAUGUAACGGGGCUAAACCAUGCACCGAAGCUGCGGCAGCGACACUAUGUGUUGUUGGGUAGGGGAGCGUUCUGUAAGCCUGCGAAGGUGUGCUGUGAGGCAUGCUGGAGGUAUCAGAAGUGCGAAUGCUGACAUAAGUAACGAUAAAGCGGGUGAAAAGCCCGCUCGCCGGAAGACCAAGGGUUCCUGUCCAACGUUAAUCGGGGCAGGGUGAGUCGACCCCUAAGGCGAGGCCGAAAGGCGUAGUCGAUGGGAAACAGGUUAAUAUUCCUGUACUUGGUGUUACUGCGAAGGGGGGACGGAGAAGGCUAUGUUAGCCGGGCGACGGUUGUCCCGGUUUAAGCAUGUAGGCUGGUUAUCCAGGCAAAUCCGGAUAAUCAAGGCUGAGGUGUGAUGACGAGGCACUACGGUGCUGAAGUAACAAAUGCCCUGCUUCCAGGAAAAGCCUCUAAGCAUCAGGUAACAUCAAAUCGUACCCCAAACCGACACAGGUGGUCAGGUAGAGAAUACCAAGGCGCUUGAGAGAACUCGGGUGAAGGAACUAGGCAAAAUGGUGCCGUAACUUCGGGAGAAGGCACGCUGGUGUGUAGGUGAAGUCCCUGCGGAUGGAGCUGAGACCAGUCGAAGAUACCAGCUGGCUGCAACUGUUUAUUAAAAACACAGCACUGUGCAAACACGAAAGUGGACGUAUACGGUGUGACGCCUGCCCGGUGCCGGAAGGUUAAUUGAUGGGGUUAUCCGUAAGGAGAAGCUCUUGAUCGAAGCCCCGGUAAACGGCGGCCGUAACUAUAACGGUCCUAAGGUAGCGAAAUUCCUUGUCGGGUAAGUUCCGACCUGCACGAAUGGCGUAAUGAUGGCCAGGCUGUCUCCACCCGAGACUCAGUGAAAUUGAACUCGCUGUGAAGAUGCAGUGUACCCGCGGCAAGACGGAAAGACCCCGUGAACCUUUACUAUAGCUUGACACUGAACAUUGAGCCUUGAUGUGUAGGAUAGGUGGGAGGCUUUGAAGCGUGGACGCCAGUCUGCGUGGAGCCAACCUUGAAAUACCACCCUUUAAUGUUUGAUGUUCUAACGUUGGCCCCUGACCGGGGUUGCGGACAGUGUCUGGUGGGUAGUUUGACUGGGGCGGUCUCCUCCCAAAGCGUAACGGAGGAGCACGAAGGUUAGCUAAUCCUGGUCGGACAUCAGGAGGUUAGUGCAAUGGCAUAAGCUAGCUUGACUGCGAGCGUGACGGCGCGAGCAGGUGCGAAAGCAGGUCAUAGUGAUCCGGUGGUUCUGAAUGGAAGGGCCAUCGCUCAACGGAUAAAAGGUACUCCGGGGAUAACAGGCUGAUACCGCCCAAGAGUUCAUAUCGACGGCGGUGUUUGGCACCUCGAUGUCGGCUCAUCACAUCCUGGGGCUGAAGUAGGUCCCAAGGGUAUGGCUGUUCGCCAUUUAAAGUGGUACGCGAGCUGGGUUUAGAACGUCGUGAGACAGUUCGGUCCCUAUCUGCCGUGGGCGCUGGAGAAUUGAGGGGGGCUGCUCCUAGUACGAGAGGACCGGAGUGGACGCAUCACUGGUGUUCGGGUUGUCAUGCCAAUGGCACUGCCCGGUAGCUAAAUGCGGAAGAGAUAAGUGCUGAAAGCAUCUAAGCACGAAACUUGCCCCGAGAUGAGUUCUCCCUGAGACUUUAAGUCUCCUGAAGGAACGUUGAAGACGACGACGUUGAUAGGCCGGGUGUGUAAGCGCAGCGAUGCGUUGAGCUAACCGGUACUAAUGAACCGUGAGGCUUAACCUU
rnacentral:rRNA from 2 species